AUAAGGGCAAGUUACCCAGUUUGCCUUCUGAAAGUUACUUAAGCUCGUAUUUUCUCUGUGACAUUUAAUUACUUGGCAUUAGUAGAGUUAGAUUCACAAAGAUUAAUUAGAUCAAGGAAAAAACACAUAUAUAAAAUAUCAGAUAACUAUGGUCUGUCCAUAUAGUGUGUAGAAAAAAAUCUGAGAAGUGAUCUUAGGUGGUUCAACAUUUGGAUAAAUUUAAUGCGGUAAGAAAAUCUAAGUGCAGUAUUCUUUCUCAGUAUUCCAAGAUCUGUGGGGGAAAGGUAGGUAGUAUUCUUUGUGCCAUGCCCUUUUAGACAGUUUUGCUAGCUGACAUAGAAAUAAUACACAAACAAGGGAGAUAUACCCAAAGGGAUUUUGUGUCCUCCUUUGUUUUUGAGACCCAGAAAUAGAAUGAAUUAACUUUUGUGCCCUAUGUUCAGUUUCAGUCUAGAAGGCUUGACAGGAGGAGCUGGUGUCGGAAACAAGCCAUCCUCAUCUCUAGAAGUAAGCUCUGCAAAUGCCGAAGAGCUCAGACACCCAUUCAGUGGUGAGGAACGGGUUGACUCUUUGGUGUCACUUUCAGAAGAGGAUCUGGAGUCAGACCAGAGAGAACAUAGGAUGUUUGAUCAGCAGAUAUGUCACAGAUCUAAGCAGCAGGGAUUUAAUUACUGUACAUCAGCCAUUUCCUCUCCAUUGACAAAAUCCAUCUCAUUAAUGACAAUCAGCCAUCCUGGAUUGGACAAUUCACGGCCCUUCCACAGUACCUUCCACAAUACCAGUGCUAAUCUGACUGAGAGUAUAACAGAAGAGAACUAUAAUUUCCUGCCACAUAGCCCCUCCAAGAAAGAUUCUGAAUGGAAGAGUGGAACAAAAGUCAGUCGUACAUUCAGCUACAUCAAGAAUAAAAUGUCUAGCAGCAAGAAGAGCAAAG
rnacentral:lncRNA from 1 species